rnacentral:rRNA from 1 species
CCUACGGGUGGCAGCAGUGAGGAAUAUUGGUCAAUGGUCGGGAGACUGAACCAGCCAAGCCGCGUGCGGGAUGAAGGUACAGAGUAUCGUAAACCUCUUUUGUCAGGGAACAAAGGCGGGGACGUGUCCCCGGAUGAGUGUACCUGAAGAAAAAGCAUCGGCUAACUCCGUGCCAGCAGCCGCGGUAAUACGGAGGAUGCGAGCGUUUUCCGGAUUUGUUGGGUUUAAAGGGUGCGCGGGCGGUCUGUUAAGUCAGCGGUAAAAGCCCGGGGCCAACCCCGGGCCCGCCGUUGAAACUGGCAGGCUCGAGUUGGAGAGAAGUAUGCGGAAUGCGCGGUGUAGCGGUGAAAUGCAUAGAUAUCGCGCAGAACUCCGAUUGCGAAGGCAGCAUGCCGGCUCCACACUGACGCUGAGGCACGAAAGCGUGGGUAUCGAACAGGAUUAGAUACCCGAGUAGUC